CACGUAGGGCGCAAGCGUUGUUCGGAAUUACUGGGCGUAAAGCGCGCGUAGGCGGACCUGCAAGUCGGGGGUGAAAGCCCGAGGCUCAACCUCGGAACUGCCUUCGAUACUGCGGGUCUCGAGUCCGGGAGAGGUGAGUGGAAUUCCUAGUGUAGAGGUGAAAUUCGUAGAUAUUAGGAAGAACACCAGUGGCGAAGGCGGCUCACUGGCCCGGUACUGACGCUGAGGCGCGAAAGCGUGGGGAGCAAACAGG
rnacentral:rRNA from 1 species